CCCUACGGGGCGCACCAGUAAACGGGCUUCUUUCCCUUGUAGACACUGCCUUUGAGGUAGCGCUUGCCGAAUUCGUUGACGGUCACGGCCUCGUAAUCAUAGGACAUGGUCAAAUAGGGAUUUUCCCAUUCGCCGAAGACGCCGAGGCGCCUGAACUGAUCCCGCUGAAUAGCGACGAAUCUCUCCGCGUAAGCCCGGCAGGAACGGCGCUUAUCCGCUUGGGACAGAUCAUACCGUUUAUCGCCAAGCUCUUUGUCCACCUGAUGUUCGAUCGGUAGGCCGUGACAAUCCCAUCCCGGUACAUAGAUGCUGUCAUAGCCCGACAUGUUUUUCGCCUUGAUCAGGAUGUCCUUGAUCAUUUUGUUCAGGGCUGUGCCCAGAUGGAUAUUGCCGUUGGCAUAGGGGGAGC
rnacentral:rRNA from 1 species